rnacentral:lncRNA from 1 species
UGCUGCCUUGCUUAAAAUACUAUAAUAAUCUUUGAAGCCUACACGCAUAAACUGUUUCUGAAUCUGUUUCACUGUUUUCUAUGUACAUGAAGAUUUGUUUAAGUAGGCCUGGUUCUUGGUAAUAGAAUCCUAACCUCUGUUACUUCUGACUUAUAGGGUAUCUUUGUUACUAGGGUUCAGCCUGAUGGGCCAGCAUCAAACCUACUGCAGCCUGGUGAUAAGAUCCUUCAGGCAAAUGGACACAGUUUUGUACAUAUGGAACAUGAAAAAGCUGUAUUACUACUGAAGAGUUUCCAGAACACAGUAGACCUAGUUAUUCAACGAAAACAUUUACUGCAGCUGAAUCUUCGAGGCCUAAAGUAUAUUAUUCAUGAACUCAAAACAUUUGGAGACAUUUCAUUGAAGAAUAUAACAAAAACAUUAAAUAUUAUUAUUAUAAAUAUUAAAAUAAAUAUGUGUUGGGCAUCAGCUACAUAUCAGGUACUACAAGGGAUAUAAUGUGGUCCCCUCAGCACAGAAUCUCACAAUCAAAAGGAAAGACGAGAGAUGUUGCAGAUCAAAGGGAGUACAAGGCAAUGUGGUGAGUCCCUUUGUUCCUGCCCUCAACCAUCCUAUUGCAAAAGGAAAUAGAGUCUUUAUCUAGUCAAAUCUGUUUCAGUCUGAGCAUGGUUUGUUCCAUUUGGAGCUACAGAUAGGUCUUCUACUGGUUCCUGUGACCUUCAUACAGCUAACAUAAAGAGUGUCACGAGGCCGGGCACGGUGACUUAUGCCUGUAAUCCCAGCACUUAGGGAGGCCGAGGAAGGUGGAUCACUUGAGGUCAGGAAUUGGAGACCAUCCUGACCAACAUGGUGAAACCCUAUCUCCACUAAAAAUAUAAAAAAUUAGCCGGGCAUGGUGGCGCGCACCUGUAAUUCUAGUUACUGAGAAGGUUGAGGCAGGAGAAUUGCUUGAACUCAGGAGACGGAGGUUGCAGUGAACUGAGAUCGCAUCACAGCUCUCCAGCCUGGGUAACAGAGUGAGACUCCAUCUCAAAAAAAAAAAAAAAGUGUCACCAAAAGUGUGAGCUGGAUGAAUAUUUGCCAGGAUUUAGGGCAACAUUUGAUAGUCUAAACGUGGCAAGUGUGAAU